AGAGCUGCAUAAGAAAGGAACACAGAAGGGACGUGAAUCGAGCUAUCUGCAGCAGCCUCCUCAGUUCGCUAGCUGAAAGAAGUGCACAAGACUUUAAGAAUAUGCGCCUAGGACCUCCGAAGUGGCAGGCGGCCACGAGUUUUCACGGCGUUGAAUAAACCAAGGCAAAGCGCCCGUCUUGAAGAAGCCGUGCCUG